UUUUAAUGAGAGUUUGAUCCUGGCUCAGGACGAACGCUGGCGGCGUGCCUAAUACAUGCAAGUAGAACGCUGAAGGAGGAGCUUGCUUCUCUGGAUGAGUUGCGAACGGGUGAGUAACGCGUAGGUAACCUGCCUGGUAGCGGGGGAUAACUAUUGGAAACGAUAGCUAAUACCGCAUAAGAGUAGAUGUUGCAUGACAUUUGCUUAAAAGGUGCAAAUGCAUCACUACCAGAUGGACCUGCGUUGUAUUAGCUAGUUGGUGGGGUAAGGGCUUACCAAGGCGACGAUACAUAG
rnacentral:rRNA from 1 species